rnacentral:rRNA from 1 species
AGUGAACGCUGGCGGUAGGCUUAACACAUGCAAGUCGAACGGCAGCACAGUAAGAGCUUGCUCUUACGGGUGGCGAGUGGCGGACGGGUGAGGAAUACAUCGGAAUCUACUUUUUCGUGGGGGAUAACGUAGCGAAACUUACGCUAAUACCGCAUCCGCCCUACGGGUGAAAGCAGGGGAUCUUCGGACCUUGCGCGAUUGAAUGAGCCGAUGUCGGAUUGGCUAGUUGGCGGGGUAAAGGCCCACCAAGGCGACGAUCCGUAGCUGGUCUGAGAGGAUGAUCAGCCACACUGGAACGGAGACACGGUCCAGACUCCUACGGGAGGCAGCAGUGGGGAAUAUGGGACAAUGGGCGCAAGCCUGAUCCAGCCAUACCGCGUGGGUGAAGAAGGCCUUCGGGUUGUAAAGCCCUUUUGUUGGGAAAGAAAAGCAGCAGGUUAAGACCCCGCUGUUCUGACGGUACCCAAAGAAUAAGCACCGGCUAACUACGUG